CAGCACCUCAAGUGGUCAGGAUGAUUAUUGGGCCUAAAGCAUCCGUAGCCGGCUCUGUAAGUUUUCGGUUAAAUCUGUACGCUCAACGUACAGGCUGCCGGGGAUACUGCAGAGCUAGGGAGUGGGAGAGGUAGACGGUACUCGGUAGGAAGGGGUAAAAUCCUUUGAUCUAUUGAUGACCACCUGUGGCGAAGGCGGUCUACCAGAACACGUCCGACGGUGAGGGAUGAAAGCUGGGGGAGCAAACCGGAUUAGAUACCCGCGUAGUCC
rnacentral:rRNA from 1 species